AUGCGGCGGAGCCAGGGUGCAGGGCUGGCGGCACUGGCCACAGUGCUCUUGGUGGCUGCAGGUGGAGCCCAGGUGCAGCAGGAGCCAUUGGCAGAGGCCACUGAGGGCACCAGCAUCAACAUCACCUGCUCACAUCCUAGCAUUGCUGCAGACUCAACUCAGUGGUACCGGCAGCGUCUACACCAGCCGCCGCAGCUGAUAGCAAUGGGUUUCAGAGGAGAAAAAGUGGUGCUGGACCCACCAGGAACCCUGCUCAUCGCGGCAGACCGUCUCUCCAACACCCUGCGCCUUGCCCAGCCCCGCUGGUGGGACACCGCGCUGUAUUACUGCACUGUGAGAGACACAUAUCUCAGCUAA